UAAUCAUACCUUGAACAUGCAUUAAUGUUUAAAAGCAUAGGAGCUAAAACUUUAUUUGCUCUUUCUUCCAGAUAGUCACACAAAAUAACAACCGAAUGAUAGAUUGGAAGAUAAGAGAGCCAGUUGGCCCUGGAACAUCUGGCAGAUUUGACUGAGAAAUUGGACUGAGAAGAAGGCCACGCAGUGCCAACAGCAACAGAAUGCCCUGGGGCCAGAAAGAGAGCGAAUGU